GUGCCAGCAGCCGCGGUAAGACGGAGGUGGCAAACGUUGCUCGGAAUUACUGGGCUUAAAGGGCGUGUAGGCGGUCGACUAAGUCGGGUGUGAAAAACCCCGGCCCAACCGGGGAAUUGCAUUCGAUACUGGUCGGCUAGAGUGCGAGAGGGGCAAGUGGAACUCCAGGUGUAGCGGUGAAAUGCGUAGAUAUCUGGAGGAACGCCGGUGGCGAAAGCGACUUGCUGGCUCGUAACUGACGCUGAGGCGCGAAAGCCAGGGGAGCAAACGGGAUUAGAUACCCCCGUAGUCC
rnacentral:rRNA from 1 species